AGCUCCAAUAGCGUAUAUUAAAGUUGUUGCAGUUAAAAAGCUCGUAGUUGGAUCUCGGGUCCAGGCUUGCGGUUCUGCUCGUGCAGAUACUGCUCGUCCUGACCUACCUGCCGGUGUUCCCCUGGUGCCCUUAGCUGGGUGUCUCGGGUGGCCGGAACGUUUACUUUGAAAAAAUUAGAGUGUUCAAGGCAGGCUUUGAGGCUUGAAUACAUGAGCAUGGAAUAAUGGAAUAGGACCUCGGUCCCUAUUUCGUUGGUUUUACGGACCGAAGUAAUGAUUAAGAGGGACAAUUGGGGGCAUCCGUAUUUCGUAGUCAGAGGUGAAAUUCUUGGACCUACGAAAGACGAACAACUGCGAAAGCAUUUGCCAAGAGUGUUUUCAUUAAUCAAGAACGAAAGUA
rnacentral:rRNA from 1 species